GUGGAGUUCUCAAACAAGUUCCUUCCUGAGACAAUUUUGCAGAUUUACCAUCGCUGCAUCUGGAGCUUAGUGCCGGCUAAGACAAUUGUG